rnacentral:rRNA from 1 species
ACGCUCGACACCUACGGGAGCAGCAGUGGGGAAUAUUGCACAAUGGGGGAAACCCUGAUGCAGCGACGCCGCGUGAGUGAAGAAGUAUUUCGGUAUGUAAAGCUCUAUCAGCAGGGAAGAAAAUGACGGUACCUGAGUAAGAAGCCCCGGCUAACUACGCGCCAGCAGCCGCGGUAAUCUGAGCGGGCUGGCAAGGC